UGAGAGCGGCGCACGGGUGCGGAACACGUGUGCAACCUGCCUUUAUCUGGGGGAUAGCCUUUCGAAAGGAAGAUUAAUACCCCAUAAUAUAUUGAUUGGCAUCAAUUAAUAUUGAAAACUCCGGUGGAUAGAGAUGGGCACGCGCAAGAUUAGAUAGUUGGUGAGGUAACGGCUCACCAAGUCAAUGAUCUUUAGGGGGCCUGAGAGGGUGAUCCCCCACACUGGUACUGAGACACGGACCAGACUCCUACGGGAGGCAGCAGUGAGGAAUAUUGGACAAUGGGUGAGAGCCUGAUCCAGCCA
rnacentral:rRNA from 1 species